rnacentral:rRNA from 1 species
AUUGAACGCUGGCGGCAGGCCUAACACAUGCAAGUCGAACGAGUGGCGGACUGGUGAGUAAUUUCUGGGAAACUGCCUGAUGGAGGGGGAUAACUACUGGAAACGGUAGCUAAUACCGCAUACCAUCAGAUGUGCCCCGAUGGUAUUAGCUAGUUGGUGGGGUAACGGCUCACCAAGGCGACGAUCCCUAGCUGGUCUGAGAGGAUGACCAGCCAACCUGGAACUGAGACACGGUCCCGACUCCUACGGGAGGCAGCAGUGGGGAAUAUUGCCCAAGGGGCGCAAGCCUGAUGCAGCCAUGCCGCGUGUAUGAAGAAGGCCUUCGGGUUGUAAAGUACUUUCAGCGGGGAGGCGGUACCCGAAGAAGAAGCACCGGCUAACUCCGUGCCAGCAGCCGCGGUAAUUG